rnacentral:tRNA from 8 species
GGCUGGUUGGUGUAGUUGGUUAUCACGUAUCGUUAACACCGAUAAGGUCGCCGGAUCGAGCCCGGCACUGGUCA